UACGUAGGGUGCGAGCGUUGUCCGGAAUUAUUGGGCGUAAAGGGCUCGUAGGCGGUUUGUCACGUCGGGAGUGAAAACUCGGGGCUCAACCCCGAGCCUGCUUCCGAUACGGGCAGACUAGAGGUAUGCAGGGGAGAAUGGAAUUCCUGGUGUAGCGGUGAAAUGCGCAGAUAUCAGGAGGAACACCGGUGGCGAAGGCGGUUCUCUGGGCAUUACCUGACGCUGAGGAGCGAAAGCGUGGGGAGCAAACAGG
rnacentral:rRNA from 1 species